rnacentral:rRNA from 1 species
CCUACGGGAGGCAGCAGUGGGGAAUCUUGCACAAUGGAGGAAACUCUGAUGCAGCGAUGCCGCGUGAGUGAAGAAGGCCUUUGGGUUGUAAAGCUCUUUUGUAGGGGAAGAUAAUGACUGUACCCUAAGAAUAAGGUCCGGCUAACUUCGUGCCAGCAGCCGCGGUAAUACGAAGGGACCUAGCGUAGUUCGGAAUUACUGGGCGUAAAGCGCGCGUAGGCCGUUGAGUUAGUUAAUUGUGAAAUCCCAAAGCUUAACUUUGGAACUGCAAUUAAAACUGCUCGACUAGAGUUUGAUAGAGGAAAGCGGAAUACAUAGUGUAGAGGUGAAAUUCGUAGAUAUUAUGUAGAACACCAGUUGCGAAGGCGGCUUUCUGGAUCAACACUGACGCUGAGGCGCGAAAGUAUGGGUAGCAAAGAGGAUUAGAUACCCUCGUAGUCCAUACCAUAAACGAUGAUUGCUAGAUGUUGGAAAUUUAUUUCAGUAUCGCAGCUAACGCAUUAAGCAAUCCGCCUGGGGAUACGACCGNAAAGGUUAAAACCACGAAAGGUAUUGACGGCNGAGACGAGACGACGACGACGACGAGGAGAG